AAAUAAGCUGUUCAUCUGUAAUUUUGAUGAUUUGUAGGCAACUUCAGGAUCAGUGACCUUGACAUAAAACAGCUCAUAAUUUGGCCUCUGCCACAUAGGUCAUUUUUACUUUUUUGAGCUGGUGUUGAGAAAUAUGCACAGUUUAAAAUGGGCCUUUGCGCAUUGCAUUUCACGAUAAGAAUGGCAGAGAACUUACUGCUGGGAAAGUGACCCGUGGUUCCAAACGCUUCUGAAUUAAACUGCUCUUAUGUUUAAAGGUAAUACUUGCACACAACAGAAGGGCAACAAAGGGAAGAUCCUAAUUACAGCAUCCGCAGCCUUUAAUUGCACAUAAAUAGUGGCAAUAGCAGGGAGGGAGGCUGCAGAAGCUGAUGAUUUGCAAGAAAUUGGAUGACCACUAGCUUCAGAGCGUGGGGAAUCUAAUCCUGCGGCUUCAACACCAAGCAUCAUCACCCAUGCUUGGACUAAGCAGCAUCUUAGACAUAACUUUGCAGCGAAGAUGGGGUAUAUAGAGUGAUGCAUUAGGUAGUGGCAUUGUAGGCUCAGGUGAGCUGUCAGUCAUUAAGGAGUCAAUACAAACAGGACUGGCGUCUGGGAAAAGGCUCCUUCUGAGUUGCCCCAAGUUACAGACCAAAGUGUCACAGUGAUGUCCCAGAUCAUAACCUUGUUACAGUUACUUCAAUAUCACAUUUGCUCUAAUUGCACCCAAUGUGUUCACAUAAACUUCAGGUCCGAAUGGGCAAGCUACAUUUUUCUUUUUCUUUUUACUGCCCAAGUGCCCACUUUCCACUGGGUAGGCCAAAAUCAAAUCAAACAAAAUCAGAAAUUUCUGGUGCAACUCAUCAAGUCUGGCAGUAUCUGUGGCAGAAAGUAGAGGUAACAUUUUGAGUCCGAUGACCGUUCAGCAGAACGCAAAAUCACCGCACUCCAAAUGUUACCUCUGCUUUCUUCCCACAGAUGCUGCCAGACCUCAUGAGUUUUGCCAGCAGUUUCUAUUUUUGUUUCAGGUUUCCAGUUCUACGUUUUAUGUUAGAAUCAAACCUAAUGCAAUCCAAUAGCAAGUAUCCAGUGUAACACCUUGCCCUUCCACAGGGACCAUUCUCACUCUGAUCCUUCCAGUGUUCACUGGAACUUCUCUCCCUCACAAUUCAAACUGGAACUUUUCUUCCCCUUGAAACAUUGUUCAAACUCAUACUUAGUUUGUUAAUUAAAUUGGCUCUCCUCCCCUUCCCCAGUUGAAGCUACACCUCCUCUUCUGUUGUUUGAAUUGAUAGCCUUCCCCUUUUGAGACCUCGGUCCUGGAUGGCACUUAUUCUUCAUCACCUCCACAACAUUCAGUGUUCCCCUUUCAUUGCUGAAACUCCUUGUUAUCCUCACCACAGAACAAUACUCCCAAGUUCAUUUUCCUCUUUAUUGACGUUCAUUGAUGAUUCUUCCCUCAGCACAGUUCCUAAACCCUAUUGAGAAGUGUGUCCGUCUUGUGAUCCAUGUAGUCUCCAAUCCUCAAGAAUUUCCAUUGACAGUACAGCUCCAAUGACGAGAGAGGUAAAUGUUGGAGUGAAGAGAGCAUCCACAUAUCUCUUUGUUAAUGGGCGAUGGCCUAGUAGUAUUAUUGCUGGACUGUUAAUCCAGAGACCCAGAUAAUGUUCUGGGGACAUGGGUUCGAAUCCCGCCACGACAGAUGGUGGAAUUUGAAUUCAAUAAAAUAUCUGGAAUUAAGAAUCUAAUGAUGACCAUGAAUCCGUUGCCGAUUGUUGGGGGGGAGAAACCCAUCUGGUUCACGAACGUCCUUUAGGGAAGGAAACUGUUAUCCUUACCUAGUCUGGCCUACAUGUGACUUCAGACCCAUAGCAAUGUAGUUGACUCUUAACUGCCCUCUGGGCAAUUAGGGAUGGGCAAUAAAUGCUGCCUGGCCAGCGACGCCCUCAUCCAAAGAAUAAAGAGAGGGUAAAGGGUCAUAGAUGAGGGAUUUCGUCCAUGGUUAAUUAUUGAGAUGCAUCAAUGAUGCAGAUGGAGAAGCACACGUGCAGGGUGAUAAUUACAGUGAUCUGGGCCAGCAGCUGCAAAAAUAGCUCCAGGCAUUGCCUUGGAGAGCAGUGAACUCACAUCAAGACUUUGGCUCUCUUGUGGACUCGUCAGAUAUUCCAGGAUACAAGUACUGGCUCUUCUGAAUCACAGGCAACUCAUCAGAUGGCUCAACAACUAUCUACCACAGUUACACCGUCAGCAGCGGAACAUGUUUAAAAGUGGUAUAAAGAAGUAUUAUCAACCACAAGAUGCAAACGUUAUAGACAACAUGUGUCAGAUUAACUGCUCGUGCACUUUUCAUUGAAUAAAGUUAUGUCUCAUCUCUA